rnacentral:rRNA from 1 species
AGUGAACGCUGGCGGUAGGCCUAACACAUGCAAGUCGAACGGCAGCACAGGAGAGCUUGCUCUCUGGGUGGCGAGUGACGGACGGGUGAGGAAUACAUCGGAAUCUACUUUUUCGUGGGGGAUAACGUAGGGAAACUUACGCUAAUACCGCAUACGACCUACGGGUGAAGGCAGGGGAUCUUCGGACCUUGCGCGAUUGAAUGAGCCGAUGUCGGAUUAGCAAGUUGGCGGGGUAAAGGCCCACCAAGGCGACGAUCCGUAGCUGGUCUGAGAGGAUGAUCAGCCACACUGGAAAUGAGACACGGUCCAGACUCCUACGGGAGGCAGCAGUGGGGAAUAUUGGACAAUGGGCGCAAGCCUGAUCCAGCCAUACCGCGUGGGUGAAGAAGGCCUUCGGGUUGUAAAGCCCUUUUGUUGGGAAAGAAAUCCAGCUGGUUAAUACCCGGUUGGGAUGACGGUACCCAAAGAAUAAGCACCGGCUAACUUCGUGCCAGCCGCCGCCGUAA